AGACCUUUCUCUCUACAUUUUUCCACGACAAUUUUGUUUUUCUUUUAUUUUUCUUCAACAACUUUAGUUUUUUUUACCGCUCAGAGCUUUGAUUUUCUCCUUUUCCUUUUUGUUUUUCAUUUAGCCAUAGUAGUAGUUUCCUACACUGGGGAACUACUACAAUUUAUUUAAUUUUGUUUAAGCAAUUAUUUUGAUGAAGCAGAAUCCUAUUGACCUGUGGAGGAAUGCUCAAGUACUUCAAGAUUCGGCGUAUUCUAUUAAUC
rnacentral:lncRNA from 1 species